UACAACCUUAUGGCUAAAAAAGAGGCAUGUCAGCUUAAAUUUCAUUUUUGCUAUUGUCACGCAUAGUCCUCACCUUCGAACGCUUCUGAUUGGUCGUCAGUGGGAAUAUUAACUACAUGGUCUGGAAAACAUUUCAUUUGCAGUGUAAUCUAACUUUCAGCUAACAUGCUUGUUUAGUUAUAGCCAUGUACGACCUACUUAUCCCGCUUUCUAUAUAAUCGCACGAUUUAGAAUAAAAUCAAUUAAAUUUAAUGGGAUAUUUGCU